GACGAACGCUGGCGGCGUGCUUAACACAUGCAAGUCGAACGCUGAAGCACCAGCUUGCUGGUGUGGAUGAGUGGCGAACGGGUGAGCAAUACGUGAGUAACCUGCCCUUGACUCUGGGAUAAGCCCGGGAAACUGGGUCUAAUACUGGAUGCUACAUGUCACCGCAUGGUGGUGUGUGGAAAGGGUUUACUGGUCUUGGAUGGGCUCACGGCCUAUCAGCUUGUUGGUGAGGUAAUGGCUCACCAAGGCGACGACGGGUAGCCGGCCUGAGAGGGUGACCGGCCACACUGGGACUGAGACACGGCCCAGACUCCUACGGGAGGCAGCAGUGGGGAAUAUUGCACAAUGGGCGAAAGCCUGAUGCAGCGACGCCGCGUGAGGGAUGACGGCCUUCGGGUUGUAAACCUCUUUCAGCAGGGAAGAAGCCACAAGUGACGGUACCUGCAGAAGAAGCGCCGGCUAACUACGUG
rnacentral:rRNA from 1 species